AGAAGAGACAGCGCCGCCGGCCGUGGGGAGCGGACGCAGCGAUUUGCUCCCCUUCGCGCAGCAACCCCCACACCCAGCACCAGGCCCCCAGAACUCUCCUUCCAGCUGAACUCUCUGAGAACAAGUCAGUUGGGCUGAUCACUGAACUCACAUUUCUGGACCUGAGGAGCCUGUUCCUCUCACACCCUCACCUGGCUGAGCCGCAGUAGUUCUUCAGUGGCAAGCUUUAUGUCCUGACCCAGCUAAAGCUGCCAGUUGAAGAACUGUUGCCCUCUGCCCCUGGCUUCGAGGAGGAGGAGGAGCUGCUUUCCCCAUCAUCUGGAAGGCUUUCUGCCUCCGAGAUGUGGCACCAUAGUGCAGUGCCCUGUGGCUUCACCGCCCUACUUCCACCUCCGCCCAGCCUGUAAUGUUUAUAAAAGCAGCCUCAAGGACCAAGAACCAUCUGCGAAAGGACACACACAGGAAAUUCAUAAAAGAAAUCUGAAUGGAUAAAACCAUGAAAAAAAUGUAUGCUUCAUUAGUAAUUAAAGAAAGGCAAAUAGAGCUGAAAGCAUUUUUCCCUUAGCAAGCCAUGACAGAAAAAAAUAAGACCCAAUAUUGGCAAAGAGACUACUGAAAAAACAUUCCCAUACAUUGCGUGUGGGAGUAUACAUCGGUGCAGGCUUCCUGGAUGACAGUUGGGUGAUAUGUGUCAUGUGGCCUAGAAGCCUCCAUGUCAUUUGACAUACGAAUUCUAUCUUUGAGAAUUUAUCCUA
rnacentral:lncRNA from 1 species